rnacentral:rRNA from 1 species
GACGAACGCUGGCGGCGUGCUUAACACAUGCAAGUCGAACGAUGAACCCGGAGCUUGCUCCGGUGGAUUAGUGGCGAACGGGUGAGUAACACGUGAGUAACCUGCCCUUGACUCUGGGAUAACUGCGGGAAACUGUAGCUAAUACCGGAUACGACCCUCGGCGGCAUCGCCAGGGGGUGGAAAGAAUUUCGGUCAAGGAUGGACUCGCGGCCUAUCAGCUAGUUGGUGAGGUAACGGCUCACCAAGGCAACGAUCCGUAGCUGGUCUGAGAGGACGAUCAGCCACACUGGGACUGAGACACGGCCCAGACUCCUACGGGAGGCAGCAGUGGGGAAUCUUGCGCAAUGGGCGAAAGCCUGACGCAGCAACGCCGCGUGGGGGAAGAAGGCCUUCGGGUUGUAAACCUCUUUCAGUAGGGACGAAGCUUCCGGGGUUAAUAGCCAACGGGGUGACGGUACCUACAGAAGAAGCCCCGGCUAAC